rnacentral:rRNA from 1 species
UACGAAGGGGGGCUAGCGUUGCUCGGAAUUACUGGGCGUAAAGGGCGCGUAGGCGGCACUGUUAGUCAGGCGUGAAAAUUCCUGGGGCUCAACCUGGGGGACUGCGCUUGAUACGGCAGAGCUUUGAGGGAUGGAAAGAGGGUCGCGGAAAUUCCCCAGUGUAGAGGUGAAAAUUCGUAGAUAUUUGGGGAAAGAAACAC